rnacentral:lncRNA from 1 species
AACUUUAUCCCAACCCCACCCCAUCCCCUAAAAUACUAAACCCUAAACUCUAAUCAGCGAACCUAAACCCAAAUAUAAACCAUAAAUCCAAAUAUAAACCCUAAACCCAAAUAGAAUGGAACAAAAUAAAUAGAAUAGUACAUACUGGUGAAAUUAUGAAAUAUCUAUGAUUGCAUGAAAGAAGUUAAUAAUGACUCCAACCAUAACCCCUCACCUUCUAAUUAGUAAACCCUAAACUAUAAUCACUAAACCCUAAACGCAAAUAUCAAAAUAUAAAAAUGUAUGCAAUAUUAUGCAAUAUUAAAUCAUAUUAUAUAAUAUUAAACUAUACAAUAUAAAUCAUAGUACGGUUUUUACAGAUUCAAAACAUGUAAUGAUAGUUAGAUAUUAAGAAAAUUACAAAAU